rnacentral:rRNA from 1 species
UAUUCUAAGGCGCUUGAGAGAACUCUGAAGAAGGAACUCGGCAAAUUGACACCGUAACUUCGGAAGAAGGUGUGCCCCUAGUAGGUGAAGUCGUACAGACGGAGCCCUAUGGGGUCGCAGAGAAUAGGUGGCUGCGACUGUUUAUUAAAAACACAGCACUCUGCAAAGACGAAAGUCGACGUAUAGGGUGUGACGCCUGCCCGGUGCUGGAAGAUUAAAUGAUGGGGUGCAAGCUCUUGAUUGAAGUCCCAGUAAACGGCGGCCGAAACAAUAACGGUCCUAAGGUAGCGAAAUUCCUUGUCGGGUAAGUUCCGACCUGCACGAAUGGCGUAACGAUGGCCACGCUGUCUCCUCCAGAGACUCAGCGAAGUUGAAAUGUUUGUGAUGAUGCAAUCUCCCCGCGGAAAGACGGAAAGACCCCAUGAACCUUUACUGUAGCUUUACAUUGGACUUUGAACAGAUCUGUGUAGGAUAGGUGGGAGGCUUUGAAGCCUGGUCGCUAGAUCAGGUGGAGCCAACGUUGAAAUACCACCCUGGUGUGUUUGAGGUUCUAACCUUGGCCCGUGAUCCGGGUUGGGGACAGUGUAUGGUGGGCAGUUUGACUGGGGCGGUCUCCUCCCAAAGCGUAACGGAGGAGUUCGAAGGUACGCUAGGCACGGUCGGAAAUCGUGCUGAUAGUGCAUUGGCAUAAGCGUGCUUGACUGCGAGACUGACAAGUCGAGCAGGUACGAAAGUAGGACAAAGUGAUCCGGUGGUUCUGUAUGGAAGGGCCAUCGCUCAACGGAUAAAAGGUACUCUGGGGAUAACAGGCUGAUACCGCCCAAGAGUUCAUAUCGACGGCGGUGUUUGGCACCUCGAUGUCGGCUCAUCUCAUCCUGGGGCUGUAGCCGGUCCCAAGGGUAUGGCUGUUCGCCAUUUAAAGAGGUACGUGAGCUGGGUUUGAAACGUCGUGAGACAGUUUGGUCCCUAUCUUCCGUGGGCGCUGCAAGAUUGAGAGAGCCUGCUCCUAGUACGAGAGGACCGGAGUGGACGCACCUCUGGUGUAUCGGUUGUCACGCCAGUGGCAUCGCCGAGUAGCUAAGUGCGGAAGAGAUAACCGCUGAAAGCAUCUAAGCGGGAAACUCGUCUCAAGAUGAGUCUUGCCGGGGCCUCGAGCCCCCUGAAGAGUCGUUCGAGACCAGGACGUUGAUAGGUCGGGUGUGGAAGCGCAGUAAUGCGUUAAGCUAACCGAUACUAAUUGCCCGUGAGGCUUGACCCU